CUCUCCUCAGGAAAGCCCCGAUGCCUGUUUGAGGUUCUGGGAAAAUUGGGAACAUGUGGCAGUGUUAUCCAGAAUAAAUCUGGUCUGAUGGCUCCAGCUCUGCCUUUUCCUCCGUGUGGAUCAGAUUUAGAGCACCUAAGGCAGCUAUAUUGCACCUCUGAGUAUUUUUGCAGAUGCUCAUUGAGAGACCGUGGCCCUGUUGGAACACAGAAGGCUGCGAGCACAGUCCCUUAUCACUAGCAGAGCUGUGUAUGCUUUCAGCCAGAGACCAAUGACCCUAUCUACUGGCAUUUUGUUGAUCAGAGCUCCUUGGACCCCAUUUAUUCUCUGUUAGUUGACAUCUGGCUACAUGUUUUGUUAAUAGUCAAAUCCAAAAAUCUGCUCCACUGAUCAGCUGUGCUCCACUGGGUGAGAAUGCUUUCAUGGCCAUAAGCAGGUCCAUGAGGAGAUGCCACAGGCUAACGAGGCACAGAAGGAUGCAGGUGAGGUUUUUGGGUCAGUUCUCACCCAUCAGCAGCAGUGCUCCCCUGGGAAGUGUCAUAGCAGACCAGCAUUUCAGCACCACCAGAGGGUGUUUGGUGGCUGCAGUUUCAACUAAACACACUGAAGAGCUGAGUAGGUCACAAGAAGAUGAAAAUCUCAUUGGACUUGUUCCUAGUGUGCCCCGUUUCUGAGAAACCUAAAGAGUUGACAGGGAAAUUAAGAAGAUAAUUGAAUCUGCUUGUUGUAACAAUAGCCAAAGGCAAAGAAGAUGUGCUGAUGUCAGAUAAUAACAUUUCAUUUCUUUCCUUGUCCUGAAAGGUGAUACGUGUUAGCACUAAUGCCCCUUGGCACAAGAGUUUGCUGGAAUGUACUGCUUUAGCAUGGAUCAGUGAUCUUGAAGCUUUCCGAAGUGGGUGCAAAUGUCAGUCCACUGAGUAAUGAGCACCAGGGAGGAUUGCUCUCCAUAGGAUCUGUCUAAAUAAAUAAGAAACUACCAGCUGUCAGUCUGAAAAGAGGGUCAAAGGCUGUUGGGGUUUUUUAUCGGACUGCUUGUUUGUCAAGCAUACAAAACAAUACAUAAAAAAUAAGGAAAUGAGGAAAUACCAGCCAGCAUAUGGCAGAGCUUUAUGAGGCUGAUCAGUGUGUCUGAACAGUCAUGUGAAAGUCAUGAAGAUCACUUUCUUCCCCAGAAGGAAAACACUUUGGUUUGGUGCAUUGUGGAUGUGC